rnacentral:misc_RNA from 1 species
UGUCUUCGGCACCCGUCUCAUUUGUGAAAAUGGCGGCCGCCUGAAAUCAAGCGAACGGACUUCGACAGCGCGUAGCCGUUGCGGUGUUUUUUCGUUGAUGUUGCGCCGUCCCCGCGAACGAAGACCAUGGAAGUGACCGCAGAAAAUUUUCAGGAGCAGUUCGGCGUGCUGAAGGCAGCUCUCGAAAAUGCCUCGUUCGUCGCAAUCGACUGCGAAUUUACGGGUCUGGAGUUGGAAAGAAGUACCCACGCGUAUGACACACCAGAAGAACGCUACCGAAAGCUGAGAGAGUCGUCUCUAGAUUUUCUGGUGGUGCAAGUCGGCGUGUGCGUGUUCCAGCAUGACAAGGAAAAGCGCGGGUACACGUACAAGGCAUUCAACUUCUACGUUUGUCCGAAGCAAACGGUCAAGGGUGCGCCCGACAGGAUGUUUCGAUGCCAGGCUAGCAGUUUACAGUUCCUGAGUCAACACGGGUUUGACUUCAACAAGCUCUUCAGUCACGGUGUCUCGUACCUGAGGACCGAAGAAGCCGCGCAACUGAGCCAGGCUUUGAGCGAGCGGCAAACCCAGCAGCUCAAAGAAGUUGGCUCGCCCAACAACGGCCCGUCCAAGAUAUCCAAGGUCGAGGUGCCCAAGGACACCCAACAGUUCAUCGACGACGUCCUGGAGUCGGUGCAGAAGUUCCUGGACAGCGCAUCUGGCACGGAAGUCGACAUGGAGGAGGAGGACGGCGUCGGGAAUGCCACCUCGAAGCAGGACUCGCCCGAGGACUUGUCGAUGCGCGAGGCCAGUCCCAAGAAGGACGGCAGCGCCCUGCACCUGUCCGAGUGCAACGGCUUCAAGCGCAAGCUCAUCUACCAGGAGGUGAACGCGCGCUUCGGCGACAAGGUCCAGCUCAACACGGAGUCCGAUGCGGACGGCAUGCUCCACAUCGCCGUGCGCAUCACCGGCACGCCGGAAGAGCAGCGGGCCCGGCUCGAGCUCAGGCACAAGAAGGAAAGGGAGGACCUCGAACUGGCGCACGGCUUCGGGCGAGUCCUCGAGCUGCUGGCCUCAAGCGGCAAGUUGAUCGUGGGGCACAACAUGCUGCUUGACAUCAUGCACCUCCUCUCUCAGUUCGUGGAUGACUUGCCCAAGGACUACAAUGAGUUCAAGAGCAUGGUGAGGGCCGCCUUCCCGUGCCUGGUCGAUACCAAGGUUCUCGCCAGUGACAAUGCCAUCAAGGACUCGUUCGUCACUACUGCCCUGGAGUUGCUGCUCAAGCAACUUCGCAACAGACCAUCCUGCGUGCCGCCCGUGGAGACCGAAAACGGCUACGGCUACAGCUUGAACCAAGCCAAGUACCAUGAGGCCGGCUAUGACGCAUUUGUGACGGGCAUGUGCUUAUUGGGCCUCUGCCAGCAACUCGGUAAAUACAAGGACCACUCCGUCGAGCUGAAAGAGACCAGUCCGGUCUUGAAGCCAUAUCUCAACAGGGUCCACAUGAUGCAGUCUCCAGACAUUCCCACUCUAAAUAUGGCUGGAAACGAAGUGAUACCGUCUCGGAGCCACAUUUUGCACGCGACUUUCCCCGCGGAGUGGCGCGCCAACGACCUCUACCAGUUGUUCAACAGCUUCGGUCAGAUCACCAUCCAUUGGAUCAACUCCACACAGGCAUUUGUUGCUAUGGCUAGCAGCCCUCUUGCGACUCAGGCUCUGAAGAAACUUGGCUCCAGCAAGACGUCGACCCAGGAGUCCUAUCGCCUACAGAGCUACACCACUUACAUGACAAGGCAGUCCCGUCAAUCUGCGACUGCAGUGACGGGGAACAAGACGACUGCGCCGCGUGAUUCUGACACGACUGUGGAAGACUCUGGCGUGGCUCGCAAGCGGAAGAGCGUUUUCUGUUGACCCACAGAUCUGCCUCAUUGACCUCGUUGACGUCCAGCAGCCCUCCUCGGAUGUCAAAAGAGGAAAGCGGUGAGUCAAAGCCGAAGCUGGUGAAAAAGACGACGACGACGGCCGU